rnacentral:rRNA from 1 species
AUGCCGCCGCCGGUGGCAUUUUCCCAUCGUGCCUCGAUUUGGCCGCCUCGGCGGAGGUGCUCGCGGCCUGGAGGGUCGGGGCCUCCCAGCCCAGUUCAUGGCCACAGCCGUCUCGGCUGUGCACGCCGGCGUCGUGACAUGGUGGCCAAGCGCUGGUUACUGCCGCACCCGACCCCAGCGUGCCCGAGGUGCCUGCAGGCCUCUCCACCAUCUCUGCUCCUGUAA